AAAGUCGUAACAAGGUCUCCGUUGGUGAACCAGCGGAGGGAUCAUUACAGAGUUGCAAAACUCCCAACCAUUGUGAACGUUACCUGUACCGUUGCUUCGGCGGGCGGCUCCCUCGGGGGCCGCAACCCUCACGGGUGCCCGCCGGAGGACAUCAACUCUUUUGUUUUUAGGCCUCUCUGAGUAAUUAUACAAAUAAGUUAAAACUUUCAACAACGGAUCUCUUGGUUCUG
rnacentral:misc_RNA from 1 species